rnacentral:rRNA from 1 species
CAAACGACUCUCGGCAACGGAUAUCUCGGCUCACGCAUCGAUGAAGAACGUAGCAAAAUGCGAUACUUGGUGUGAAUUGCAGAAUCCCGUGAACCAUCGAGUUUUUGAACGCAAGUUGCGCCCGAAGCCUUCUAGCCGAGGGCACGUCUGCCUGGGCGUCACAC